AAUCAUUUGUCUUUUAAAUGAAGACUUGUAUGAACGGCAAAACCUCCUCCAACUGUCUCCCCUCCCAUCCUUCCAAAUUUCCUCCUGUGUGAAGAAGCACAGAUACACCAGAAAGACGAGAAGACCCUGUCGAGCUUUAACCACUAAGUGGGCCUCACCCUUUCAGGCACCACCCAAAGGUUUUGGUUGGGGCAACCACGGAGAAAAAACAUCCUCCAGAACGAAUAGAAGAAAGCUUUUCACUAUUAUUAUGAUUAAGAACCAGGAACUGGUAUUCGGAAAGAGUUACCGCAGGGAUAACAGCGUCGUCUCCUCUAAGAGUCCUUAUUGACAAGGAGGUUUGCGACCUCGAUGUUGGAUUGGGGCCCCCUUAGGGUGCAGAAGCUCUAAACGGUUAGACUGUUCGUCUAUUAAAGCCCUACAUGAUCUGAGUUCAAACCGGAG
rnacentral:rRNA from 1 species